UACGAAGGGGGCUAGCGUUGCUCGGAAUUACUGGGCGUAAAGCGCACGUAGGCGGAUUGUUAAGUCAGGGGUGAAAUCCUGGAGCUCAACUCCAGAACUGCCUUUGAUACUGAGAAGCUUGAGUCCGGGAGAGGUGAGUGGAACUGCGAGUGUAGAGGUGAAAUUCGUAGAUAUUCGCAAGAACACCAGUGGCGAAGGCGGCUCACUGGCCCGGUACUGACGCUGAGGUGCGAAAGCGUGGGGAGCAAACAGG
rnacentral:rRNA from 1 species